UACGGGGGGGGCAAGCGUUGUUCGGAAUUACUGGGCGUAAAGGGCUCGUAGGCGGCCAACUAAGUCAGACGUGAAAUCCCUCGGCUUAACCGGGGAACUGCAUCUGAUACUGGAUGGCUUGAGUUCGGGAGAGGGAUGCGGAAUUCCAGGUGUAGCGGUGAAAUGCGUAGAUAUCUGGAGGAACACCGGUGGCGAAGGCGGCAUCCUGGACCGACACUGACGCUGAGGGGCGAAAGCGUGGGGAGCGAACAGG
rnacentral:rRNA from 1 species